rnacentral:rRNA from 1 species
UACGAGUGCCUCAAGCGUUAUCCGGAAUCAUUGGGCGUAAAGGGUGUGUAGGUGGUCGUGUUAGUCUCUCGUUAAAUUCUUCGGCUUAACCGGGGGCAUGCGAGGGAAACGGCACGACUCGAGGAUGCAAGGGGUCUGCGGAACUCUAGGUGUAGCGGUGAAAUGCGUUGAUAUCUAGGGGAACACCAAAAGCGAAGGCAGCAGACUGGGGCACUCCUGACACUGAGACACGAAAGCGUGGGUAGCGAAUGGG